UAAAUUAUUUUUUGACUUCUGUUUUUUUUGGUUGAAAGUAUUUCCAUAACCACGAGAAG
rnacentral:antisense_RNA from 1 species